ensembl:lncRNA
CCCUUUUCCAUCACGAUUUCAUUCUGUUAUAGAUAUCAAAGAUUUAAGUUGCUCUUCGAGAACCGUUCAGCUUCCAACCUGAAUUACAACUGAAUACCACUUUGUAAAUACAAACUCAGUGCAACAAAAUAACUGAAAUAUCGGAAACCAGGGGACAAAAUGCAACACGGUUAAACAUGUUGAAUCUCUGUUGCAGAUCGCCAAGAUAUACGGAAGUGUCUGUAACAAAAAUUUGGGUUAUUAAAUGCUAAGAUGUUCAUUAACAAGCCCGAUCACAUAUCGCCGUCCCUCAGUUGGCGGUGAAACUGCGAGCAGGAGUUGCUCGCAGGAAGCAGUCGAAGCACACGAUGAACAGAGAGUGAACUGGUCAGAAGACGAAUGCACUAAUAUGUGUCACACAUUCCUCUCCGUCUGCUCAGCUCACAGUCAUAAUGGAAGCGGCCCUUUGCACUCGUUUGGAGGGAAAACAGCCCGGCUGCCAACAUCUGACUCAGAUAAAAUGAGAAGGGCCUUCGGGUUUCUCUUUUUACAUCGUGCAUCCACUCCGAAUGAUUAGAGGGUCAGACACCCACAAAGGCCUGGGCCCACAAUAGCCAGAGGGAGGCUGGAACAGGACGGGACAAAGGCACACUGAAGUGCUUGGUCAAAGCUGACAGGGCAGCUGAGUCAUCACUGAUGAUGCUCAAAUUGAUCAUUUGCAAAGAUUGUCACAUUGUUUUUUUGAGUUUUGAGUAAAUGUUAACAGGUUUUAUUAUUUUCUUCAUGACAGUUACUUCGGGACCAUGUGUAACAGAGGACAUUUAUAUAUGUUUUAAACAUGUCAGUUUUCCUGUUGCAAUGACAUUCAUUAUUUUUCUUUCAUGGAAUUUAGUUUAGUAACUUUUUCUGCGAGACAUCAGACUCAUUUAGAAUCAGAAUCAGAAGCCAUUCACCGCCA